UGAUAUGAGCGUCCAUGGUGUAGUGGUUAGCAUUGCUGCCUUCCAAGCAGUAGGCACGGGUUUC
rnacentral:tRNA from 1 species